GUGGGGAAUAUUGGGCAAUGGGCGAAAGCCUGACCCAGCCACGCCGCGUGAGUGAUGAAGGCCUUCGGGUCGUAAAGCUCUGUGGGGAGGGACGAACAAGCUGGGCGCUAAUCACCCCGGUCCUGACGGUACCUCCUUAGCAAGCACCGGCUAACCCUGUGCCAGCAGCCGCGGUAAUACAGGGGGUGCAAACGUUGCUCGGAAUUAUCGGGCGUAAAGCGCGCGUAGGCGGCCACUUAAGUCGGAUGUGAAAGCCCCUGGCUCAACUGGGGAAGUGCACCCGAAACUGAAUGGCUUGAGUGCGAAAGAGGGUCGCGGAAUUCCCGGUGUAGAGGUGAAAUUCGUAGAUAUCGGGAGGAACACCGGUGGCGAAGGCGGCGACCUGGGUCGACACUGACGCUGAGGCGCGAAAGCGUGGGGAGCAAA
rnacentral:rRNA from 1 species